rnacentral:rRNA from 1 species
AUACGUAGGUGGCAAGCGUUGUCCGGAAUUAUUGGGCGUAAAGCGCAUGUAGGCGGUUUGGUAAGUCGGUCGUGAAAAUGUGGGGCUUAACGCCGUAUGGCGAUUGAAACUGCUGAACUUGAGUGCAGGAGAGGAAAGGGGAACUCCCAGUGUAGCGGUGAAAUGCGUAGAUAUUGGGAAGAACACCGGUGGCGAAGGCGCCUUUCUGGACUGUGUCUGACGCUCAGAUGCGAAAGCCAGGGUAGCGAACGGGAUUAGAUACCCCGGUAGUCCUGGCCGUAAACGAUGGGUACUAGGUGUGGGAGGUAUCGACUCCUUCCGUGCCGGAGUUAACGCAAUAAGUACCCCGCCUGGGGAGUACGGCCGCAAGGCUUAAACUCAAAUGAAUUGACGGGG